AUACACAUUACUUGGGGAUCUUUUUUAAAAGUGGAUUUUUAUUCAUAGGUUUUGGGAAGGGACUGAGAUUCUGCAUGUGUAACAAUAUCAUAGGUAAUUCCUAU
rnacentral:pre_miRNA from 1 species